UGCGGUUGUGGCGGAACUGGCAGACGCGCAAGAUUCAGGUUCUUGUGUCCGAUAAGGACGUGGAGGUUCGAAUCCUCUCAACCGCAU
rnacentral:tRNA from 1 species